rnacentral:rRNA from 1 species
CCUACGGGAGGCUGCAGUGGGGAAUAUUGGACAAUGGGGGCAACCCUGAUCCAGCCAUGCCGCGUGUGUGAAGAAGGCCCUCGGGUUGUAAAGCACUUUCAGUGAGGAAGAACGCCUGGUGGUUAAUACCCAUCAGGAAAGACAUCACUCACAGAAGAAGCACCGGCUAACUCCGUGCCAGCAGCCGCGGUAAUACGGAGGGUGCGAGCGUUAAUCGGAAUUACUGGGCGUAAAGCGCGCGUAGGUGGCUUGAUAAGCCGGUUGUGAAAGCCCCGGGCUCAACCUGGGAACGGCAUCCGGAACUGGCAAGCUAGAGUGCAGGAGAGGAAGGUAGAAUUCCCGGUGUAGCGGUGAAAGGCGUAGAGAUCGGGAGGAAUACCAGUGGCGAAGGCGGCCUUCUGGACUGACACUGACACUGAGGUGCGAAAGCGUGGGUAGCAAACAGGAUUAGAUACCCCUGUAGUC